rnacentral:rRNA from 1 species
AGCGGCGAGCGAAACGGAAAGAGCCCAAACCAAGAAGCUUGCUUCUUGGGGUUGUAGGACACUCUAUACGGAGUUACAAAAGAAAGUUAUAAAUGAAGCGGUCUGGAAAGGCCCGCCAAAGACGGUAACAGCCCGGUAGUUGAAAUGGCUUUCCCUCCAGAGUGGAUCCUGAGUACGGCGGAACACGUGAAAUUCCGUCGGAAUCCGGGAGGACCAUCUCCCAAGGCUAAAUACUCCCUAGUGACCGAUAGUGAACCAGUACCGUGAGGGAAAGGUGAAAAGCACCCCGGAAGGGGAGUGAAACAGUUCCUGAAACCGUGUGCCUACAAGUAGUUAGAGCCCGUUAAUGGGUGAUAGCGUGCCUUUUGUAGAAUGAACCGGCGAGUUACGAUUUGUUGCAAGGUUAAGCGGAAAAAGCGGAGCCGUAGCGAAAGCGAGUCUGAAUAGGGCGCAUAAGUAACAGGUCGUAGACCCGAAACCAGGUGAUCUACCCAUGUCCAGGAUGAAGGUAAGGUAAUACUUACUGGAGGUCCGAACCCACGCACGUUGAAAAGUGCGGGGAUGAGGUGUGGGUAGCGGAGAAAUUCCAAUCGAACUUGGAGAUAGCUGGUUCUCUCCGAAAUAGCUUUAGGGCUAGCCUCGAGGUAAAGAGUCAUGGAGGUAGAGCACUGUUUGGACUAGGGGCCCUUCUCGGGUUACCGAAUUCAGAUAAACUCCGAAUGCCAUGUACUUAUACUCGGGAGUCAGACUGCGAGUGAUAAGAUCCGUAGUCGAAAGGGAAACAGCCCAGACCACCAGUUAAGGUCCCCAAAUAUAUGUUAAGUGGAAAAGGAUGUGGGGUUGCUUAGACAACCAGGAUGUUGGCUUAGAAGCAGCCACCAUUGAAAGAGUGCGUAAUAGCUCACUGGUC